UACUUUUUUUUAAUGAUGAAAUAACUAUGCAACAUAGAGUCAAGCUCUGAGCUAAAAAUAAUAGCAUGGGAAGAGACUUGCUUCAAUUUCUGAAUCUUAAAAUU
rnacentral:snoRNA from 1 species